rnacentral:rRNA from 1 species
UACGGAUGAUGCGAGCGUUAUCCGAAUUUAUUGGGUUUAAAGGGUGCGUAGGCGGCUUUUUAAGUCAGCGGUGAAAUUUUGCAGCUUAACUGUAACAGUGCCGUUGAUACUGGGGAGCUAGGAUUUGGUUGCUGUGGGUGGAAUGUGUGGUGUAGCGGUGAAAUGCUUAGAGAUCACACAGAAUAUCGAUUGCGAAGGCAGCUUACUAAACCAUAACUGACGCUCAGGUACGAAGGCGUGGGGAUCAAACAGGAUUAGAUA